AGCAGCACCAGGCAGUCCACAGCCAGGCUGGAGAACACGUAGCCAGGCCUGCUCCCAUGGUCUUAGGCUGCUCCCCUGGGGCCUGGGCAGCAAGGAGCAACAAGGGAACAUGGAAUAGAUCUGCUGAAUGUGACCCCAAAUGCAGAAGACCGAGGUGUUGACUUGAAGAGCUCUUUGCUAAUAACUACUCCAGACCAUAUCAUUAACCAUAUGAAUGUGGGAAAGGAAAAGAAGAAUCACAGCACCUUCAGAAUCUGAUUCCCUGCCUGCUGAGCACAGCAUACAAUUAAAGUGCAAAUAAA